CGCGCAGGCGGUCGAUUAAGUCGAGUGUGAAAGCCCCCGGCUCAACUGGGGAGGGUCAUUUGAUACUGGUCGACUCGAAGGCAGGAGAGGGAAGUGGAAUUCCCGGUGUAGUGGUGAAAUGCGUAGAUAUCGGGAGGAACACCAGUGGCGAGGGCGACUUCCUGGCCUGUUCUUGACGCUGAGGCGCGAAAGCUAGGGGAGCAAACG
rnacentral:rRNA from 1 species